CGUUCUGUAAGCCUGUGAAGGUGUGCUGUGAGGCAUGCUGGAGGUAUCAGAAGUGCGAAUGCUGACAUAAGUAACGAUAAAGCGGGUGAAAAGCCCGCUCGCCGGAAGACCAAGGGUUCCUGUCCAACGUUAAUCGGGGCAGGGUGAGUCGACCCCUAAGGCGAGGCCGAAAGGCGUAGUCGAUGGGAAACAGGUUAAUAUUCCUGUACUUGGUGUUACUGCGAAGGGGGGACGGAGAAGGCUAUGUUGGCCGGGCGACGGUUGUCCCGGUUUAAGCGUGUAGGCUGGUUUUCCAGGCAAAUCCGGAAAAUCAAGGCUGAGGCGUGAUGACGAGGCACUACGGUGCUGAAGCAACAAAUGCCCUGCUUCCAGGAAAAGCCUCUAAGCAUCAGGUAACAUCAAAUCGUACCCCAAACCGACACAGGUGGUCAGGUAGAGAAUACCAAGGCGCUUGAGAGAACUCGGGUGAAGGAACUAGGCAAAAUGGUGCCGUAACUUCGGGAGAAGGCACGCUGA
rnacentral:rRNA from 1 species